rnacentral:rRNA from 1 species
GAUUAACGCUGGCGGUGUGUAUAAUACAUGCAAGUCGAACGAGUCUUCGGACUAGUGGCGGACGAGCGAGUAACACGUUGGAACCUACCCCAAACUCAGGGAUAACAUCUAGAAAUAGGUGCUAAUACCGGAUAGUCCCGCAAGGGUAAAGAUUUAUCGGUUUGGGAGGGGCCUGCGGCCUAUCAGCUUGUUGGUGAGGUAAUAGCUCACCAAGGCUAUGACGGGUAGCUGAUCCGAGAGGAUGAUCAGCCGCGAUGGGACUGAGACACGACCCAU